CAGUUUCCUGUAUCCUUAGGAACCAAGCACUAGUGCACUGCAUUUAAUACUGUGCUGUGUUCUGUAGUCUACAUAUAUAUACACCAGGAUGAAGAAUGGGGCGGAGAAAGAGAAUAAUAGGAAUGAAGAACCUGAGGAAAAUAGCAAGGUAUUCCUAAGAAGAUGGUACAUUUUGAUCCUUUUUUCAUUCUUUACCCUGCACUCAUGCGCAGUCUGGAACACAUGGGGCCCGAUAGCGAAAACUGCCAAAAAGGUAUAUGGCUGGACAGAUGGAACCCUAACCCUGUUUACACUUUGGGGUUGUCUAGACUUCCCUAUAUUCUUCCUACCCUCAGCCUGGCUUCUUGGUCGUAGCCUCCGCUGGUCCGUUGUCAUCGCUGCCUUCUGUAUGCUUCUAGGAUCAUCGAUCAGAUGCUUACCCCUAGUGUUCCCACUUGAUGACCAAGCAUUUACUUACCUCUGCCACGCGGGAGCAAUUAUUAAUGCAAUUUGCGGACCAGUUGCAAUGUCAGCACCAAUACAGAUUUCAUCUGCUUGGUUUCCUCCAACAGAACGUACUUUUGCAACCAGUAUAGGUCAAAUGUUCAACGCUCUUGGUGUCGGCGUCUCCUUUAUUUUUGGAACCUUUAUUGUUAGGGAGGCUUCUGAGGACUGUGAACUUGAUCCUCCAAGUUCAGAUAAUAUUCUUUGUUUGAACAAGGAAUCUGAUCUAAAACUUGCAAGAGAUGAUAUUGACAUCCUUCUCUUGAUCCAUGGUGGUAUAUCCUUGGUAAUUUUUCUUCUGAUUCUUCUAUAUUUCCCGAGCCAGCCACCUAAACCUCCAAGUAUAUCUGCUACAGAACCAAGAACUCUGUUCCUUGAAGGAUUUAAAACCCUUCUUAAAUCAAGAACAGCCUGGUUUACCAUGAUAACCUACUCAAUGUCUCAAGGUUUAGUUCAGAUGUGGCAAAGUGUGAUGAUAAUUAAUAUUCUAAAUCUAGAAAUAGAAGGAGUAACUGAGAAAUGGGCUUCAAUGCUUGGAAUAGUUAUAAGUUUUGUAGCUGUGGCUGCUAGCAUUGGAUUCGCUUUUAUUCUUAAAUGGUUCAGAAAAAGGAUGAAGCAUGUGAUUAUCCUUCUGCUUGCGGUAUCAGGCACAAUAUUUAUUGUUGUAGCUCUACUUUUCCAGGUACUGCAGUCCUUUUGCUGAUACUAGUCUUUUCUUGGUGCUCUAGUCCUUUCCUAGUACGAGCUUUCUCCGGGUACUAGUCUUCUCAACGUUGUAAUCUUUUCAGAUCCUAGUCUUUUUCCAAUGGUAGCCUUUUUCCAGGGUGUGAUACAAUUUCAAAAUGCUGAACAUUUUAAGAUUUCUGCAUAUAUUCUGCUGUUGU
rnacentral:misc_RNA from 1 species